rnacentral:rRNA from 1 species
ACGGCUCAGUAACACGUAUUCAACAUGCCCAGGGGACGUGGAUAACCUCGGGAAACUGAGAUUAAUGCGCGAUAGGUCAUGAUUUCUGGAAUGGAUCCUGGCUUAAAUCUACUUGGCCCCUGCAUUGGACUGCCGCCGAUCAGGCUGUUGGUGACGUAAUGGCCCACCAGACCUAUAACCGGUACGGGCUCUGAUAGGAGAAACCCGGAGAUGGGCACUGAGGCCAGGACCCAGGCCCUAUGGGGCGGAGCAGGCGCGAAAACUCCACAAUGGGCGAAAGCCCGACACGGUUACUCUGAGUGAUUUCCGCUAAAGACAUCUGUUGGCAGCUCUAAAAAUGGUGCAGAAUAAGGGGUGGGCAAGUCUGGUGUCGGCCGCCGCGGUAAUACCACCACCCCGAGUGGUCGGGACGAUUAUUGGGCCUAAAGCAUCCUUAUCCGGUUGUGCAAAUCCUCCGUUAAAUCCAGCCGCUCAACGGAUGGUCUGCGGAGGAUACUACUGAACUACGAAGCAGGAGAGGCAAGCGGUACUUAGUGGAUACGGGUAAAAUCCUUUGAUCCAUUGAAGACCACCAGUGGCGAAGGCGGCUUGCCAGAACGCGCUCCACGGUGAGGGAUGAAAGCUGGCGGAGCAAACCGAAUUAUAUACCCGGGUAGUCCCAGCUGUAAACGAUGCAGACCCGGUGAUGGGCUAGCCUCGUGUCAGACCAAUGCCGCAGGGAAGCAGGUAAGUCUGCAGCCUGGGGAGUACGGUCGCAAGACUGAAAACUUAAAGGAAUUGGCGGGGGAG